rnacentral:rRNA from 1 species
UGGGGAAUAUUGCACAAUGGGCGGAAGCCUGAUGCAGCGACGCCGCGUGGGGGAUGAAGGCCUUCGGGUUGUAAACUCCUUUCGCUAGGGACGAAGCUUUUUGUGACGGUACCUAGAUAAGAAGCACCGGCUAACUACGUGCCAGCAGCCGCGGUAAUACGUAGGGUGCGAGCGUUGUCCGGAAUUACUGGGCGUAAAGGGCUCGUAGGUGGUUUGUCGCGUCGUCUGUGAAAUUCUGGGGCUUAACUCCGGGCGUGCAGGCGAUACGGGCUGACUUGAGUGCUGUAGGGGAGACUGGAAUUCCUGGUGUAGCGGUGAAAUGCGCAGAUAUCAGGAGGAACACCGAUGGCGAAGGCAGGUCUCUGGGCAGUAACUGACGCUGAGGAGCGAAAGCAUGGGUAGCGAACAGGAUUAGAUACCCUGGUAGUCCAUGCCGUAAACGGUGGGCGCUAGGUGUAGGGGGCUUCCACGUCUUCUGUGCCGUAGCUAACGCAUUAAGCGCCCCGCCUGGGGAGUACGGCCGCAAGGCUA